rnacentral:rRNA from 1 species
UACGUAGGGGGCAAGCGUUGUCCGGAUUUAUUGGGCGUAAAGAGCGUGUAGGCGGUUUGGUAGGUCCGUUGUGAAAACUCGAGGCUCAACCUCGAGACGCCGGCGGAAACCAUCAGGCUAGAGUCCGGAAGAGGAGAGUGGAAUUCCUGGUGUAGCGGUGAAAUGCGCAGAUAUCAGGAAGAACACCCGUGGCUAAGGCGGCUCUCUAGUACGGUACUGACGCUGAGACGCGAAAAGCGUGGGGGAGCGAACAGGG